GGAGUUAGCCGGUGCUUCUUCUGCGAGUAACGUCACAGAUGUAAGGUAUUAACUUACACCCUUUCCUCCUCGCUGAAAGUGCUUUACAACCCGAAGGCCUUCUUCACACACGCGGCAUGGCUGCAUCAGGGUUUCCCCCAUUGUGCAAUAUUCCCCACUGCUGCCUCCCGUAGGAGUCUGGGCCGUGUCUCAGUCCCAGUGUGGCUGAUCAUCCUCUCAGACCAGCUAGGGAUCGUCGCCUAGGUGAGCCUUUACCUCACCUACUAGCUAAUCCCACCUGGGCUUAUCCAUCAGCGCAAGGCCCGAAGGUCCCCUGCUUUCCCCCGUAGGGCGUAUGCGGUAUUAGCAGUCGUUUCCAACUGUUAUCCCCCACAAAUGGGCAAAUUCCCAGGCAUUACUCACCCGUCCGCCGCUCGUCAUCUUCAAAAGCAAAGCUUUUGAAAUGUUACCGCUCGACUUGCAUGUGUUAGGCCUGCCGCCAGCGUUCAAUACUGAGCCAUAAUACAAACUACUGA
rnacentral:rRNA from 1 species